GACGAACGCUGGCGGCGUGCUUAACACAUGCAAGUCGAACGGAGUGGCGAACGGGUGAGUAACACGUGGGUGACCUGCCCUGCACUUCGGGAUAAGCCUGGGAAACUGGGUCUAAUACCGGAUAGUGUGGGAUGGGCCCGCGGCCUAUCAGCUUGUUGGUGGGGUAAUGGCCUACCGAGGCGGCGACGGGUAGCCGGCCUGAGAGGGUGGACGGCCAAAUUGCGACUGAGGCACGGUCCAGAAUCAUCAGGGAGGCAGCGGUGGGGAAUAUUGCACAAUGGGCGGAAGCCGGAUGGAGUGACGUCGAGUGGGGGAUGAAGGCCUUCGGGUUGUAAACUCCUUUCACCAGCGACGCGGUAGUUGGAUAAUAAGCACCGGCUAACUACGUGCCAGCAGCCGCGGUAAUUC
rnacentral:rRNA from 1 species